rnacentral:rRNA from 1 species
GAUGAACGCUGGCGGCGUGCCUAAUACAUGCAAGUCGAGCAAACAGACGAGGAGCUUGCUCCUCUGACGUUAGCGGCGGACGGGUGAGUAACACGUGGAUAACCUACCUAUAAGACUGGGAUAACUUCGGGAAACCGGAGCUAAUACCGGAUAAUAUGUUGAAUCGCAUGGUUCAACAGUGAAAGACGGUCUUGCUGUCACUUAUAGAUGGAUCCGCGCCGCAUUAGCUAGUUGGUAAGGUAACGGCUUACCAAGGCAACGAUGCGUAGCCGACCUGAGAGGGUGAUCGGCCACACUGGAACUGAGACACGGUCCAGACUCCUACGGGAGGCAGCAGUAGGGAAUCUUCCGCAAUGGGCGAAAGCCUGACGGAGCAACGCCGCGUGAGUGAAGAAGGUCUUCGGAUCGUAAAACUCUGUUAUUAGGGAAGAACAAAUGUGUAAGUAACUAUGCACGUCUUGACGGUACCUAAUCAGAAAGCCACGGCUAACUACGUG